UUGGUAUGGAAACCUACUAAGUGAGAACUUUCAAAUUCAGAGAAACCCUGGAAUUAAAAAUGGGCAAUCCUGAGCCAAAUCCUGUUUUCAUAAAAAGGUGGUUCAGAAAGAAAAAAAAAAAAAAGGAUAGGUGCAGAGACUCAAUGGAAGCUGUUCUAACGAAUAGGGUUGACUGCGUUGGUCGAGGAUCUUUCUAUCGAAACUCCGGAAAGGAUGAACCUAUAUACGUACGUAUUUGUACUGAAAUAGCAAAAAUUAAUGAGAUCCGAAUCCAUUUUUUAUUUUAUAUGUAUAUGAAAAAUUUAAAAUGGAUUGUGAAUCGAUUCCAAAUGGAAGGAAGAAUCGAAUAUUCGCCGAUCAAAUCAGUCACUCUAUGGUCUGAUAGUUCUUUUGAAGAACUAACUUAUUGGACGAGAGUAAAGAUAGAGUCCCGUUCUACAUGUCAAUACCGACAACAAUGAAAUUUAUAGUAAGAGGAAAAUCCGUCGACUUUAGAAAUCGUGAGGGUUCAAGUCCCUCUAUCCCCAAAAAAGAUCGGUUUUCCUUUCUAACUAUCUUUU
rnacentral:ncRNA from 1 species